CGUCCUGCCGCUUUUUUUUUUUUCUUCUUCUUCCCAGACAUGGCGGCGUCCUGCAUUUCGCGUGUGCGUCGUAGUGUCGAGUUUUGUUCAUGCUGUCGACCUUUACUGCGUUACCUCGCAUUGUGUGUUGUGUGUUGCGGUUACUAACGUAAGCGCAAGUUCUUCACUGAGUAUGAUGCGCGGCAGCGUGCAAAUAGUCACCAGAUGCCGGCCGUGCGACUCCGUUCUCUGCGACUCCUUUGUUCGGUGUGAUCGAGGGACGUGAUUCAUGCUUUGGAGACCCUCUUUAGACCGUGCCCUCAUCAAAUGUUUCCACACAUCAGUGAGUAGCAGCACCGCAAUCCUUACUCGACGACACGCUCUGUGGGCCUGGAAAAUACCUUGACGUUCGAGCACUUCGGGAGCUAUACCGGCGGACAGCCGGACGCGGGUAGCUUGGCCGUUCCUUGCUCUGCACAUCGCUUGAAAACCGGCGGUCAUCCUGCAGCGUACGCUGCCAGCGUGCUUUCUUGCCAGAGCCGCCUCCCCUGCUGGUGAUGACCAUAUGCAGCCAGUGCUGAUGUGAACCUGAGUGAUGAACAAAUGCAGAUCUGCAAAGGAGCUGUCCUGAAGCACCAUGCUUACUCAAGUCAUGCAGCGAGAGUCAGCAUGCCUGGAAAAGUACUUCAAAGCACACCCAAUCUGGCUGACUGCACUACCUCAAGAAAACUGCCUUUCUACCAUCUGCAAGUUCCUAAGAAGCUACUUUAUGAAGCAAGCCAGCAGGGCGUACGUGUUAGGCAUGGCAGCACGGAGAACAAAUAAACAAGU
rnacentral:lncRNA from 1 species